UACGGAGGGUGCAAGCGUUAUCCGGAUUCACUGGGUUUAAAGGGUACGUAGGAGGGCAGGUAAGUCAGUGGUGAAAUCCCCGAGCUUAACUUGGGAACUGCCGUUGAUACUAUCUGUCUUGAAUAUUGUGGAGGUGAGCGGAAUAUGUCAUGUAGCGGUGAAAUGCUUAGAUAUGACAUAGAACACCAAUUGCGAAGGCAGCUCGCUACACAUAUAUUGACUCUGAGGCACGAAAGCGUGGGGAUCAAACAGG
rnacentral:rRNA from 1 species